GGGUGUGUAUGUGUCCUGGGAUGGUGCUGCAGGUGCCCGCGCAGCUCAGCUCUUAUGAGGGCAGGGCUGGGGAGUGACAGGGUUGCUCUGUUUUGAGGAUUAUGUGGAGGAUAACCAGAGGGAGUAUAUAGAAGAAUGCUUGACACUUGCCUGACCUGACCGCAGGAGAGCAUGUGCUGAGAAUGUGGCCCUCACAUGUUCCUGGCCAAUGUGACAGCAG